rnacentral:lncRNA from 1 species
UUAUAUUUAAAACCAGUUAUAAAUUAUUACGCAUUGUUAAAUAAUAGAAGAAUGCCUUUCGCAUUAGCUGUCUAAAGAUCCUUAUGAAUUAUUUAGCGGGAAAUGGCGUGGUCUAUCACCUGAAGUGCUGGGCGUGCCUUCAUUUCAGAACAGCCAGGCUCGCCGGCAACGUCUUUGCCGGCUCCUCCGUCGACGAAGCCGUGAAUGUUUGCAUCGUCCUCCGCAGCAGUAAGGGAUAGUGACUGCAUAAUCUUGGUAACCGAGAGCUCCACAAGAUAGGAAGAUUUCACUCACGAAUCCCAUCUCAUGCUACUGCAUGCAGACCAUGAUAUAACUGUGUUCUAAAAAAUAAUCGAAUGUCUGUAAAUAUCCAUACGCAAGCCUUCCGUUUUAGUGAUCACGAAUUUCGGUUUGGUUUUCCUCUUUACCAGAUCUUUUUUUUUUUUUUUUUUUUGCUUCUCCUGCCACUUUUAUGGGCGAGUGUACUGGAACGAGAAUUAGGAAUAACUUACUGGCGUGGUGUUUCCGUCCAUUAGCAUCUGGAAUAGAGGCACGUUUGGUGCACGUGACUCAGCUAUUUGUGCACGUGACCGUAAGCCCCACCUGCGUACUCAAGUGAAGUGCGCGGCAUAUUACGCAGCUGAUGAUGGCGGAAGCCACAUUUAUCACCUUUUGAGACCGAGUUGGGACAACUCGAAGCAAAAACUGUUCACUGUAAAGGGCAAAAUAGGCCCAAAAGAAAUAAAAUAGGAAAAAAUAUGUUAUGUAAGAGAUUAUUUUUGGAUUCAAUUUUAUUACCUCUCACAAGUACGUUAUCCAUGUAAGUACGUGUUUGGCUCAUUACUUUAAUUGCAUUUUGGCAACAAUUCUAGAAUUGUCACAAAUCAUCAAACCAGCUAUUAUUUCAGUUUCAAAAAGCACAGCCAAAAUCAUUUGAUUGAUAGAAAGCUAUUAGCUACAUUUGUUUGCAGAUUUGUUUACGUCUUUGAAAUAUUUGGAACAGAAUGACGUUUCCAAAAAACAUGAAUAGAAAUCAUAUUUGAAAAAAGAAGGUAUACAAGUAGGAUAUUUGGAAAGAAGUACUUCUCAAGGCAAUAAAAUGUCCCAGAUGCCCGAACUUCUACUGCAGUAAGCCAUUCGUGCCUGAAAAAUGAGAAUAUUUAGAGACUGUUAUCUUCCUGAAAGAUGACAUUGGCAGAUAAAGUGAAGGAACUGCUUUGGGCUCAAUUUCGAGAUGAUCGGGUAGUUUAGAGAAGUUUCUUGUCCUCCUUCAUCGGACUUCCCCUCCGUAACUACUGGUUGUUUCUGAAAAAUCUCCAAAAGAUGGUAUCUAUAGCAUACAGACUACCAAGUUGCUACAAUUCCUCAAGAAACCCUUCGCGCUAUUAUUAAGUAUGUUAUAAAGUGCUUUGAACACGUGAUUGACGCAAAUGGAAUGCACAUUGAACAAUUUCAUUGAUUAAAUAAA